UUGUUAAGUCAGAUGUGAAAACCCCGGGCGCAACCCGGGAACUGCAGCUGAUACUGGCAAGCGUGAGUCUCGUAGAGGGGGGUAGAAUUCCAGGUGUAGCGGUGAAAUGCGUAGAGAUCUGGGGGAAUACCGGUGGCGAAGGCGGCCCCCUGGACGAAGACUGACGCUCAGGUGCGAAAGCGUGGGGAGCAAAC
rnacentral:rRNA from 1 species